rnacentral:rRNA from 1 species
UACGAAGGGGGCUAGCGCUGCUCGGAAUCACUGGGCGUAAAGCGCACGUAGGCGGAUUGCUAAGUCAGGGGUGAAAUCCUGGAGCUCAACUCCAGAACUGCCUUUGAUACUGGCGACCUUGAGUCCGGGAGAGGUGAGUGGAACUGCGAGUGUAGAGGUGAAAUUCGUAGAUAUUCGCAAGAACACCAGUGGCGAAGGCGGCUCACUGGCCCGGUACUGACGCUGAGGUGCGAAAGCGUGGGGAGCAAACAGG